GUAGCGUUGGCCGUUUUCAUGCGGGUAUUGGUAGUCGGACGUGUUCGACUUUCUGUGGAGUAAUGGUAGUUAACUUCUGCUGGGGACAAAAAAAAAUGGGCACUAUUGGUUCCAGUUAUCAAUUGUUUUAAAAUUUGUAAAAGCUCGCACAUUAUUUUAAUUUUUAAAUAAUCUACUGUUUUUGACUGUGAUUUCGUGAUAUAUUUUCAGAUUAAAAAAAAAAACGUGAUGUGAUAAUAUGGGAAGACUCAUCGCCGAGUCGUAUUUUAUAUUUAUUUUAAAUUUAUAGUACACCCAAAGAAAAAAAAAAGGCGUGUUUAUAUUAAUUUUAUGUAAUGGGGUUAAGAACAUGUGCAAUUUUAUUCAUUAUAAAAUUGCAACACGAGUGUCAUUCCAACCUAUAAAAUACGUGUGUUCAUAAGAAAUACCUUGUAAAAUGAUCUUCACCUCCGAAAUAAGGUUUAGCAACGUUUGUUUCUAUGACUGGAAACAACAGUUUCAAAAAAAGUUUCGAAAGAGCGAGAAGUAAAAAAUUAACCAAUUUUCGUUACUGUCUCGUUAUUUAACAGUUUACAUGAAAAUUUACGUUGCGUGAUGUGUGAAUUCCGCUUUCAUGAUGUUGAGGGCUCUCAUACCGACAGAGCCUGCUGAUCGGAAACUGUCGAAAAUAGAGAUUUUGCGGUUGGCCUCAAGUUACAUUUCUCAUUUGGAGGCACAAUUACAAGCAGGUGGCAACCCACAGCCAUGUCUGCAAACUGCUUGCCUACGGGAUGAAAACAUGCGACCGUCAGUAUGUACCUUCUGUCUUGCCAAACAAAAAAAGUUCCUUGAGGAAUCAGGCAUUUAAAUGUAAACUGUAUCAAAAUCAAGUAUUUUCAACGAAGGGAAAAAAGUAUUUGAAUUACUGCUUUUGCCACAAGUCUUUCAAAGUUCUAAAAUGGUUUAUAUUGUAUAAAUUUUGUAUGACUAGACAGUGUCAAAUCUUAUGGCUCCAUGUGCAUUCUCAUAAUGUAUAAAAUAACAUUUUCAUUCAAGAAAGGUAAUAUAAAAUAACUUUUAAAUAGUUUUUCAUUUUUGUACUAUUUUAUAUUUUAGAAAUUAAUUAAAAACAUAGUUGCAACAAAAGAAUGGGCAACACUGAGGAAAAAAAAAAUACUGUUUCAAAGAGUUUACAAAAAUAUAUAUUUAUGUGGGCAUAAAAAUUGUUAUCCAAAUGGAUUUAUAUUUACAAAGAAGAAAAACAAACAAAUUUUUAUCCAAAUCUUUCCCUUAGAAUAGUUGAAAUUCCCAAUUAAAAAUUAAAACUUUCAAUUUUGCUUCAUGCCAAGAUAACUGAGCCAGUCACAUUGCUACAGGACUGAUAUGUUUAGCAAUAUACUAAGAUUGUGAAAUAAUGAAUGUAAUGUCUAGUUAAACUCAAAACUUCUAAAUAAAUAUCUAUUAUUGAGA